rnacentral:piRNA from 1 species
UGGAGAUGAACGAAUCCCGAAAAAGGUCAAC